UCCGAAUUGGUGUAGUGGCUAACAUUUGACGCUCUCAACUAAGAUCCGUCAAGCCCGGGGUUCGAUUCCCCGAUUCGGAG